UCUUGCUAGUAAUUGGUGGAAUGAGCUUUGAUAGUAAACCAGUCCUUGGGGGUGGGGAGUAAAAAGUACAGAGAACAGAGUUCAGAAGGAAAGUUAGUGAUGGUUUAGUGAUUAGACUUUAAGUCAGAGAAAAAUAGUAAUUAGAGAGUAAGGGGACUGUGUAGAACCUGAAAGAGGCUAGGCCAGUGUGAACAUUGCUGGAUGUGUCUGACGACAGCUUCUCAACUACAUUUGGGUGCAAAUCCACUGAGCUGUUCCUGAUUUUCUAGGACUGAUGGUGGGACAUUCCAUGAGUGACAAAGAAUACUUCAAGGAAGCAUGCAUGUGUGUAUAUGUUGGUGGCAACAACAGACUUUGAAGAUUGUUCUCAGGGUUCUCUCCUUAUAUCUAUCAGAUCUGACUGAGAUUGAGGAUUUCAAAUUCAGUCAAGUUUAGUCAAGUCAAUAAACAUUUGUUUAGUUCCUUCUAUAUACCUGGAACUAUGCUACAGGCUGAAAAUAUCAAAGUAAAAAUAAAAACAAAAAACAGUCCCUUGUCUCCAGGAACUUAUAGGUCUAAUAGAUAACUGCAAAUAGAUUGGUAGUCCAGGAGUGAGAUUUGAGGGUCUUCCCAUCCCCGAUUGGAUUUCUUCCCCCACCCCCAUUAGGUUAAGGAGGCCAUUCUCUGCCACAAUUCUUAUGUAGUCUUAACUACUGAAUAGGCAUUGUCUUUGUCAAACUGUGAUCUGGGAAAGACCUUAGCUUAAAAAAGAUCAAGAUCUCCCAUUGUAUCCAGGGCCAUCUCCAGCUACCCUAAUCUAUCUUGCCACUGGACCCAGGUGGCUCUGGAGGAAAAAGCAAAGCUAAUAAUUUUGUACAGCCUUCCUUCCCUCAAAACCAACUCACUUGCAUGUCAAGGCAUCACCUUCUUGAUGUCAGAGUACUAUUUUAGAAAGAAAGAGAAACUACAUGUCUUUAGCAAGCAAAGUAUAUUAGAGUAAGAAAAGCUGUAUCAUUGAAUCUAGUGUAUUGGGAGUUGGGAAUGAGAAAGUUUGAAAUUUGAGAGGGAGAUGUGUAUCUUAAAUAUGUGUCCAAAGGUUCAAUAAUUCAAUUUAAUUUAAUAAACUUUAAGUGCCUACUGGGUAAAGGAAUGAAUAAAUUACAUUAAGUGCUGCUUAUGUAUGAAUGCUAAUGUCUUCCUUCUGUUAUCUGCAAUCUGCACUAUAUAUUUCUACUUUGAAUUUAGUUGUUUUCAUCUUGUCUCUCCUAUUAGACUAAGAUAUCUUUAUUUACAGGGACUGGUUUGGCCUUUUUUGUUAUCUCUAGAACUUAGCAAAAUGCUUGGCCUUAAUAAAAGUUUCUAGGUAACCAAAA